rnacentral:rRNA from 2 species
GGGGGCAAGUUUGGUGCCCGCCGCCGCGGUAAUUCCAGCUUCCAUAGGGUAUUUUAAAGUUGUUGCAGUUAAAAAGCUCGUAGUUGAAUUUCGGGGUCCGCCCGUUGGUCGGGCCACUGGCAUGUCCGGGCUUUGCUGAUUCCUCCUUCUGGUAGAACCUUAUGGCCUUUAUUUUGGGGGUGGGGGAAAACAGGACUGUUCCUUUGAAAAA